ensembl:lncRNA
ACAUUUAUAGAUUGUCUUUAUCUUGAUGUGUGAAUGGGGUUCUGUUUCUGUUUGUAUGCGUGUGUGUGUGUGUGUGUGUGUGUGGUGUGUGUGUGGUGUGUGUGUGUGUUUGUGUGUGUUUGUGUGUGUGGUGUGUGUGUAUGUGUGUGUGUGUGUGUGUGUGUGUGUGUGUGUAUGUGUGUGCGCGUGCGUGCGUGCGGUGUGUGUGUGUGUGUGUGUGUGUGUGUGUGUGUGUGUAUGCGCGUGUGUGUGUGUGUGUGUGUGUGUGUGUGUGUGUGUGUGUGUGUGUGUGUGUGUGUCUCAGGUCUGAAGGAGGAGCCCAGCAGUAAGUCUGAGAGCAGUUCAGUGAAGCAGAGGAAGAUCAGCAAGAAACCCACUGAGGACGAGCCGAAGAGAACAGGCAGCUGUACUAGCGAGCGGGCGGAGCUUGUGGACGGCGAAUCAGAUGUCCAGCUUCACUGCUCCACCGGCUCAGAGGCUGGGCCACAGGAGUCAAGCCCGCCCCUGACCAACCCCUUGGCCACAUCCUUCGAGGAGGACAUCCUGGAUCUAAAGUGAUGACAAUCCCACAAUGCACCUCUCCCAUGGCAUCCCCUCUCUCCAAGUUGUUUGGCGAUUUUUGUUUGUUUGUUUAUUUCCUGUCCGUUUCAUUUCAGUUGUUUGCCUGUAUCAGCCGCUGUGGCAGCCUCAUGGCUUCAGAUGUGGAUGUGGUGUGUGUCGUGGGAUGUCAAAUGCAGUAGAAUCAAUCGGGUGGUGUGCGUGUUCGUUGUGUGUGUGUGUGUGUGUGUUGGUCUGUGUGUGUGGGUGAGUUUGCUUCUGUGUAUGUGUGCAUGGGUGUGUGUUCUUGUAUGUAUGUUCUAUCUCUCUCUCUCUCUCUCUCUCUGUGCGUGUGUGUGUGUGUGUGUGUGUGUGUGUGUGUGUGUGUGUGUGUGUGUGUGUGCGUGUGUGUCCCAGUCCCCAUAUUAAAUACAGUCAGACCUGAGAUAGGGAUUAAGACUAAAACCUAACCCAGACUAGACCUAAGGACUUGUAGCAGUCUGAGGAGAAGUUUAAAGAGAAGAGAAGUUUAGAGAGAAGAGAAGGUUAUAGAGAAGAGAAGUUUAAAGAAGGUUUAGUGAGAAAAGAAGUUUAAAGAGAAGUGAAGGUUAUAGAGAAGAGACGUUUAAAGAGAAGAUAAGUUUAUAGAGAAGAGAAGUUUAAAGAAAAGAGAAGUUUAAAGAUAGACAUACGUGAAUGUGCCUCUCUGUUUGAACCAAGACUUUAUCAGGAGUAGGAAAAGUCCUCGUGAGGAGGACUAAGGUUGUGGUCAGGUAGUCCAAAAAUACAUCCUGUGUCUUUUCCUAACUAUUUUUCCUUGACCUUGAUGGAAAACGUCAAAGAGGUCAAAGAAAGAUGUGAAGGAGAAUUCACAAGGACCUGGGAAAGACAUCCGCAGUGCUAGGAGAAUCCCACUGCACUUGCUCUAGGCCACGUGAUUAUGCAACGGCGGAUGUUAUUGACGCGGGUCGUACUGAUUGUUCGAUGUUUCUGCCACAAGGAAUUGUGGGUCGCCAUUAUCUCCUUUCCUAAGAGAGAGCGGGGAGGAGAAUCAGUCAAGCAUUUAGGCUCGAAUAAGGGAAGGUGAUCACCAUAUCACCACCAUAUACUGUAGGUCCGCAACCUCUUAGUGUGGCCCCCAAUCACAGUGGCUAGAUAGGUUUGGUUUACAGACAUCAGCCAAGAUAAACAUAAACAAACAAACAACAGAAGUAAAUGUUUACGGUUUCCUUGGAGACCAAACAUGAAUGUAAAUUGACGCACCCAAGGCACGAUGACAAAAAACACGACUUUAACCCCGAGUGUCCUGUUUUGGUUGUAUCUUUUUUUUAUAUUUUCUCUUUUUUUUUUUUUAAAGGAAUACAUAUAUAAAUACAUAUAUUUGUUGUAUAUUAUGUGAUACUUUCUGUGUAAGUGAGAAUAAAAUAUAAUAUAUGCAUAUUGGGUUGUGAGCA